GGAAAUAAAAGUCGUAACAAGGGCUCCGUUGGUGAACCAGCGGAGGGAUCAUUACAGGACUCGCAAGACUCCUACAACCCUGUGAACUUAACUAUAAGCACGUUGCUUCGGCGGGUGUCUCGGAGGGGGUUCUCCCUCCCCGAGACGCUAAACCCGCCGGCAGCCUACUAUACUCUGUCUCUUUGCGUUGGCAUCUCGAGUACAAUCAAACAAGUUAAAACUUUCAACAACGGAUCUCUUGGUUCUG
rnacentral:misc_RNA from 1 species